CCUACGGGUGGCAGCAGUGAGGAAUAUUGGUCAAUGGGCGAGAGCCUGAACCAGCCAAGUCGCGUGAAGGAUGAAGGACCUAUGGUUUGUAAACUUCUUUUAUAUGGGAGUAAAGUGAGGGACGUGUUCCUUUUUGUAUGUACCAUAUGAAUAAGCAUCGGCUAACUCCGUGCCAGCAGCCGCGGUAAUACGGAGGAUGCGAGCGUUAUCCGGAUUUAUUGGGUUUAAAGGGUGCGUAGGUGGUUGAUUAAGUCAGCUGUUAAAGUUUGUGGCUUAACCAUAAAAUUGCCGUUGAAACUGGUUGGCUUGAGUAUAUUUGAGGUAGGCGGAAUGCGUGGUGUAGCGGUGAAAUGCAUAGAUAUCACGCAGAACUCCGAUGGCGAAGGCAGCUUACUAGACUAUAACUGACGCUGAUGCACGAAAGCGUGGGGAUCAAACAGGAUUAGAUACCCUAGUAGUC
rnacentral:rRNA from 1 species